rnacentral:rRNA from 1 species
AGAGUUUGAUCAUGGCUCAGGACGAACGCUGGCGGCGUGCUUAACACAUGCAAGUCGAGCGGGGCAUAGCAAUAUGCCUAGCGGCGGACGGGUGAGUAACACGUGGGUAAUCUGCCCUCAAGUGGGGAAUAACACAAAGAAAUUUGUGCUAAUACCGCAUAGAACUGAUGCUUCGCAUGGAAUAUCAGUUAAAGAUUUAUUGCUUGAGGAUGAGCCCGCGGCCCAUUAGCUAGUUGGUGAGGUAACGGCCCACCAAGGCAACGAUGGGUAGCCGACCUGAGAGGGUGAUCGGCCACAUUGGAACUGAGACACGGUCCAGACUCCUACGGGAGGCAGCAGUGGGGAAUAUUGCACAAUGGGGGAAACCCUGAUGCAGCAACGCCGCGUGAGCGACGAAGGCCUUCGGGUUGUAAAGCUCUGUCUUCGCUGACGAAUUAAUGACGGUAAGCGAGGAGGAAGCCACGGCUAACUACGUGCCAGCAGCCGCGGUAAUACGUAGGUGGCAAGCGUUGUCCGGAAUUAUUGGGCGUAAAGGGUGCGUAGGUGGUCUUUUAAGUGGGAUGUGAAAUACCUGGGCUUAACUCAGGGAUUGCAUUCCAAACUGGGAGACUAGAGUGCAGGAGAGGAAAGUGGAAUUCCCAGUGUAGCGGUGAAAUGCGUAGAGAUUGGGAGGAACACCAGUGGCGGAGGCGACUUUCUGGACUGUAACUGACACUGAGGCACGAAAGCGUGGGGAGCAAACAGGAUUAGAUACCCUGGUAGUCCACGCUGUAAACUAUGAGUACUAGGUGUAGGGGGCGAAGCCCUCUGUGCCGCAGUUAACACAAUAAAGUACUCCGCCUGGGAAGUACGAUCGCAAGAUUUAAACUCAAAGGAAAUUGACG